rnacentral:rRNA from 1 species
GUGUCAGCAGCCGCGGUAAUACGUAGGGGGCAAGCGUUGUCCGGAAUCAUUGGGCGUAAAGCGCGUGUAGGCGGCUGGCUAAGUCCGCUCUGAAAGCCCGGGGCUCAACCCCGGGAGGCGGGUGGAUACUGGUCAGCUCGAGUCCGGAAGAGGAGUGUGGAAUUCCUGGUGUAGCGGUGAAAUGCGCAGAUAUCAGGAGGAACACCAAUGGCGAAGGCAGCACUCUGGGACGGUACUGACGCUGAGACGCGAAAGCGUGGGGAGCAAACAGGAUUAGAUACCCCUGUAGUCC